rfam:Neotoma lepida isolate 417 scaffold_301, whole genome shotgun sequence.
GGAGAGGUGGCUCAGAGGUUAAGAGCACUGGCUGCUGCUCUUCCAGAGGUCCUGAGUUCAAUUCCCAGCAACUACA